rnacentral:snoRNA from 1 species
GGACGGUGAAUCAACAAUAGUUUUAUAUGGCUCUUCUGUUUACAACACCCCCAACAGGAACCUCGGGUCGCUGUGAUGAGGGACGCAAAGCUUGUGGCCUCCCUAUGAACAAAUGCCCUACAUGU